rnacentral:lncRNA from 1 species
AAUUGCAGCAGACACCAGCUUCAGCUUGUCGGGGUUCCGGCCGACGAGGAUUAGACUCAGGCCUUGCCUGGCGAGCUCAAAGGCCAUGGCCUUUCCGAUGCCGUCGGUUGGCCCCGUGACAAUCGCCCACCGGCCGUAGUCGAGAAGGUGUUUUGGUGGUCGGAGGAAGAAGGUGUAGACCCAUCGGAGGAAGGACAGAGAAAGCCUCGAGACUUGGAAGAGGCCGAGUGACAAUAGAAGGAUAACCCAUGUAGGUUGUGAUCGCAGAGUGUCUAAGAAGAGAAACUCCAUGAUCUCAGGACUGAAGGAGAUACAACACAUCCUUGGUUCGAAUAAGUAGGAGGCGAUCCGGACGAAACUAAAGUGGACGGUGGUCUGCAAAGUCAUGCACAAAAGCUAGAUCGAUGUGAUAUCAAUAAUGAGAAUUUUGUUACUGGAAAGGCCGAGAUUGUCUAAUGUGAUGUGUCGAAAGUGUUGGCAAAUUAAGGUCAUUGCAGUAUAAAGAAACCUGUUAGGAGGGCUCUAAAUAGGAUUUAACGGUUCAAAAUGUAUUUGCAUACACUCUAUCAGUCCAUGUAUUGAUCGUCGACAUCAAUGCACGUGUUGUCACCUGCCAAAACUUUAAUGCGAAGGAGAUGAUAGCUCACAUUUACUGACCUUUCCGGUCUCUCUCUCUAUCUCGCCUACGGCCAGCACGUUGAUUUAUUUUGUCGUGUCUUGCUUUUACACGUUACGUAUUUAUUGCUUUCGGUGUCAUUCUUGAAGUCCCGUGAUGUGCCCGAGCCCAUACGGAACCGACUCUAUCUGUCUAUAUCGUAAACAGCCACAAGAUAAAAUCCAAAUUGUCAACCAUCAGCUUCCAUUUUUACCCUGCGUGUUCUUAAUUAGUUGAUCUCAUUUAUCAAAUGGAUUGAUGGCCAACCAACGUGGAUCCUCUCAGUAACGGUUGGCUUAUAUGAAUUGAGCAUCUCGAAGGGGCCUCUUUCCUCAAUUUGAACGCUUGUGGGCAGAUAACCGAUACCCAAGCGCACAAAGACAAAUAAUUUUUAUGUUUUAUUUUGCUACAAUCGCGAUCGCAUUACUCUUAGUUGCAUGCAUUAGAGAGAAGUUACAUGGUCUCCUAUUAGAGUCAAUCUAAGAGGACUAACCUAUUCACACUCAACUAAAAAGAAUAGGAAUUCAGAUCAAGACUGAAACGAUUUGAGAGGCUGCGGCAUGAAACUCUUUCGCAUUUACCGACAAAUGGUAUCAGACAGAGAGAACUCUUGGAUAUAAACGUAGUACAUGUCAAAGGUUCAAAAUCUUUUAAGGGAAGCAGAUCCAACUGUGGGUUAUCCAGUUUUUAUGAGGCCCGGUCAUGUAUGCUUGCGUUCUUAAUACUUGAAUACUCCCCUUAAACAAGUUGACUGCUCUACCCAAGAUCCUAUAAACGCUCCAGUUACAUAAAGAUCCUUCAACGUUGAUGGUGGAUGUACAUCGGAAGAAUUCAUUACGCCCUUAGAAUGAAAGGAUAAACUGUACAGUUAGAAGUUGAUUAAAUGGUCCCUUUUCUAGUGCCAGGCAUAAACCUGCCGCGCACAUUCUUGAUUACUUUCUUCCGCGUAUAUACCUUACCUUGACAAUUAUCGAAAUUUGGGGAUUCCUUUUUCUUGAUUUGACCUCCUAUCAUUGGGCAGACCUCUGCAUUGCUCACCGGAAAGAGAAUCAGUAUCCUCCUUCAGACGUUCUGCAUCUUACUCGUUUCACGAUCUUAAGGAGAAAUGAUGUUUUGGUGGGCAUCUUCCGCGGCUUCGCGCCUGAAUAUGCGAUGUGCACGUCAGUAGCCUGUGCGUUGUUUGGCCGCUAUGCACCUGUGUUUGUACACGUCGGUAUUUCCCGCUCACGUCGGGCCAAACACAUGCCUCUCUUCCUCUCUCUCUUUCUUUAUAAGUCCUCUAUCUGGCCAAACACAUGGGACAAAUGGGAAAAGAGAUUUUCUAGACCCGGCUGAAGAGAAAGAGAGGAUUAAAGAAGGAUGGCCAACCACAUUCGGUGGUUGAAGUUUGGACUUUGAUACGCAUAAACAUUCGGAGAGUUAAAAUAAAUUUAAAUGUACCCGAGGACAAUACACAAAUAAGGAAAAGUUUGUUUACUUUAUUUGUCUCAGUGAAAUAACUGAAGCUUACCGUAAAUUUUAUAACUUACAUAGUGUCCUACAUGUUGUUCUAUAUACGUUUAGUAAGGAAUAUAUAAGAAUGCUAGGCGCUCAUACAUUUCCACAUGAAGAUAUAAACGUGGAAGGUUCUCACACAAGCUAACUUGAAAGCCUGCCUGGAGCUCAACUAAGAUUAUGGAAGCCAGUGAAAUUUUAUCACUCUAAUAGACUGGUCUAAGAAGCUCAAAAGACAAAUUCAAGCCAUAAACGGCAACUUUGAAGUCAAUUUAUUAUCAAGCAAACGUAGCUGGUAAACCCACGAGCAAUACCUUGCGUAAAACAUCACCUAGGAUAAGAUGGAUAACCCUGCUUUGUUAAAAACAGCGUCUGCCUGCACUUGUAUCAGGCAAAAUGAUAGAGCACUCUUCUGCGAAGGGCGGAAUGUAGGAGCCAUGCAUUAAGUAUACUCUCUGGCACGAAUUUCGCUAAGUAGCACUGUAGAGAGUGUCGCCAAUGAGGAAGGAUUGAAGUCCCGUAGCCGAUGGCGCGUACAGCCGGAGGAGCAUACUCUUCUGGUUUAGUAUUAAAAAACGAAGGUUUCUUGUCGGGGACCAUCUUUGUCACUGUAUAAGACGGAGUCUACGCAUAGACGAAAAGUUAAAUCCAGUCUACUAAAAGUAGACAAAAUAAUUACUUUCCUCUGAUGUUUAUUUCUACAGAAUGGAUUGAAUUCCUUGUGUAGAAUGAAUUGAUAAUUAUUAUACUCAGAAUUCAAUGAAAUCCAGUAAUGUUAACUCGUAGAUGAUAAUUGAGACUUUCGUGUAUAGUGGUUGUCAUUUGCGACUAGCAAAAAGCUUGGCCCAUUUUAGAAGGAUAUACAUGUAGCAUAUUACUUUGACUAAACUAAAUUAUUUGUGGACAGAAAUUGCUGGACGAUUUAGGUUACCUGGCAUUGGAUGUCAAUCCCAUGUUUUUUGUACUCAUGGUGCAAGCUUCUGGACAAGCUAUCAACGUAACUAUUAGAUAUUAAAAACCAUUUAUCAGUAUAUAGUGCUAACAUACCUGUGCAAAUUAAAUCAGCAGUUCCCGUCAGAAUUCUAUUUGAGUUGCUAGGAAAAUCUUGCCAAAUUUUUUGAUUUAAGUUUUGGGGGAGGGGAAAUAUUGGAGAAUGAAUCGGAUGACCAGAAACUAAGCAUCUGUAAAACGGACAAGCCUACCGAGGGCAAGGAUCUGUAAAAUUCCAAGAAAAUGGAGGACAAAAAGCUCAAGAAUUGGCGUUAGAAGCAAUAGAAGAACAAAGAUUAACCGCAUCAACAGAGAUAAACCCAUUAUAAGAACCAGAUAAAGAAAGAAAGCGAGAAAUCAUUGAUGUGACAAACAGCCAAAAGUGGAAAAACGACGACUAAAGGAAAAACGUAAAGUGUCAUUACGGAAUUUUAAAAUUCGAAAAGUGCCAUGAGAAACACCUACCCUUUGGUACCAGUAUACACAGCGAACAUCGGGUAAGAUGGCGUGAUCACUACAGACCCGGAGCCGAGGUUGGCGAUGGCUCCCUUCUUUUUCCUCAUCAUCUGCGGCAGCACCGCCCUGGUAAUCUCCGUCAACGACUCCAUGUUAACUUUGGUUAAAUCGGAGUACAUCUCCUCCUCCAACUCAUGCAGGUACUUCGGAACAUCAUAACACACACCAGCGUUAUUAACGAGCACCCCGACGUCGAGCUUCUCGAUGGCUUUCUUUAGGCGCCGGACGCCGUCGGGGAUGUCACCGGCCAGGUCAAACACGACAGUCACAACCUCAACGCUCUUCAACUCGGCCUGAAUUGCAGCAGACACCAGCUUCAGCUUGUCGGGGUUCCGGCCGACGAGGAUUAGGCUCAGGCCUUGCCUCGCAAGCUCAAAGGCUAUGGCCUUUCCGAUGCCGUCGGUUGGCCCCGUGACAAUCGCCCACCGGCCGUAGUCGAGAAGGUGCUUUGGUGGUCGGAGGAAGAAGGUGUAGACCCAUCGGAGGAAGGACAGAGAAAGCCUCGAGACUUGGAAGAGGCCGAGCGAUAGCAGAAGGAGAAUCCAUCUGGGUUGCGAUCGCAGCGUGUCUAAGAAGGAAAACUCCAUUGUUUCAUGAGUGCAGGA